CACACUAGACUAAGUCACUCAUCGAGGUCUUGUUCUGACUGUUGAGAUCCUAUCUUCCAGCUUCAAAAAUAAUCCUAACCUGAAACUUGCUCCCGUAUCUCCAUCACCUCCACUUCAAUCGACAAACCCAUCUUCAUCGCGAGUUGGCAACAGUGCAACUGGGGCCAUUGCAGGAGGAGUUGCUGCUGGAGCGGCUCUUCUCUUUGCUGCUCCUGCAAUAGCGCUUGCUUGGUACUGACGAAGGAAGCAAUCUGUUCACUUCUUUGAUGUUCCUGCUGAGGAGGAUCCAGAAGUCCAUCUAGGGCAGCUCAAAAGAUUUUCUUUACAUGAACUCCAAGUUGCAACGGAUAAUU